rnacentral:rRNA from 1 species
GAUGAACGCUGGCGGCGUGCCUAACACAUGCAAGUCGAGCGGUAAGGCCGUUCGGGGUACACGAGCGGCGAACGGGGGGGCAACACGUGGGGGAUUUGCCCGGCACCUCGGGUUAAGCCGGGGAAACCGGGGCUAAUACUGGACUAGACCCCCAUUCGCAUUGCGGGUGGGGGAAAGAUUUAUCGGUGCCUGCUGGGCCCGCGGCCGAUCAUCUUGUUGGUGGGGUAAUGGCCUGCCAAGGCGACGACGGGUAGCCGACCGGAGAGGGUGGACGGCGACACUGGGCCUGAGGGAGGCACCAGUGUGCAACGGGAGGCAACAGGGGGGAACAUUGCCCAAUGGGCGCGCGCCUGAUGCAGAGGCGCCGCGUGAGGAAUGCCGGCCUUCUGGUUAAAAACAUCUUUCAGCUGAGACGCCGCGCAAGUGACGGUACCUGAAGAAGAAGCACCGGCUAACUACGUG